rnacentral:RNase_P_RNA from 1 species
CCCUGAAAGGGGAGGAAAGUCCGAGCUCCACCGGGUAGGGUGCUGGGUAACACCCAGGGGAGGCGACUCCACGGAAAGUGCCACAGAAACAUACCGCCGGCGGUUAACAAGUUGACCACCGGUAAGGUUGAAAUGGUGAGGUAAGAGCUCACCAGCUACUGGGCGACCAGUUGGUUAGGCAAACCCCAUCCGGAGCAAGACUAAAUAGAGGGACAUAGGGACACCCGGCCUGUCCCUGGGUUGGUCGCUUGACU